rnacentral:rRNA from 1 species
UACAGAGACUGCAAGCGUUAUUCGGAUUCACUGGGCGUAAAGGGUGCGCAGGCGGUUGGGUGUGUCAGAUGUGAAAUCCCGAGGCUUAACCUCGGAACUGCGUCUGAAACUACUCGACUAGAGUACUGGAGAGGGAAACGGAAUUCACGGUGUAGCAGUGAAAUGCGUAGAUAUCGAUGAGGAACACCAGAGGCGAAGGCGGUUUCCUGGACAGUUACUGACGCUCAGGCACGAAAGCAUGGGGGAGCAAAAGGG